GAUGAAGAACGCAGCGAAAUGCGAUAAGUAAUGUGAAUUGCAGAAUUCAGUGAAUCAUCGAAUCUUUGAACGCACAUUGCGCCCGCCAGUAUUCUGGCGGGCAUGCCUGUUCGAGCGUCAUUACAACCCUCAGGCCCCCGGGCCUGGCGUUGGGGAUCGGCGGAAGCCCCCUGCGGGCACAACGCCGUCCCCCAGAUACAGUGGCGGUCCCGCCGCAGCUUCCAUUGCGUAGUAGCUAACACCUCGCAACUGGAGAGCGGCGCGGCCACGCCGUGAAACACCCAACUUCUGAAUGUUGACCUCGAAUCAGGUAGGAAUACCCGCUGAACUUAAGCAUAUCAAUAAGCGGAGGA
rnacentral:misc_RNA from 1 species